rnacentral:lncRNA from 1 species
CCCACGAGAUAGGAAGAGUCAUUAUGAAUCCUUCUUGGGUGUUUCUGAGUGUUUUGGUGUUCUGGAUGGUCUUCUUGGGAAUAAUCCAAGCUGGGUCCAUAGAUGAAACCAGACCGCAUAUAAAGGAUCUUCAUCGCCAGUCACAUCAUGCCCAUGGAAGUGUUAAACACCAUCAGAAGCACCAUGAAGGGCUUAAAACUAGAACCUCGAACUCCUCCACUUGUAUAAGCGUGUUUGAGCUGGAGCUGAUUUCAAUUACCAGAUGGUUGAACAACACCAACGAGCUGAAAGUGAUCUUCUCACUUAUUCCUCCAUCUGUCAAGCAGUUGAUUCUUCAACAGUGAAGGUUCCAAUAGUUCUAACCCAGAGAGUCCGGAUAACUCCACGUUGAAUAAUCCGAACUUGGCUGCAUUGAACGGUUCAGCUGCUUUGGACUUGAACGCAUUCUAGUUCUCUGUAGAUUGGCCCAUUUUGACUUACUUUGCCCGCUUGGCUGGAUAUUUCUUAUCCAGAGCUCAUGGGCUUCCAGAAUUAUUCAGCAAUUUGCCAAUGCUUCGGGAUGUAUGGAGGGUUUUUCUUCGUGGGCUGUUGAGAGGAGCUGAACGAACAGACGUUUUGCUGGGGAAUCUUCGCGAUCUGUUUGGGUUUACGAACGGAACUAUCAGCAGCAAUUUGUUCAACGUCACCCACUGGGAGCAAGUGUUGUCUCCAUCUGGUAUUUCACAUGUUGUAGAAGGAGGUAUUGAGACUUUGGCUAAUAUCCCGAGUAUAUUAGGGUAACAUUCAACCACAACAGUUUAGAAAAUUACAUAUUUUUAUGGCUAAAUAAAUCGAAUCAAUUCAUUUAAAAAUGCCUCACCCAGCAGAUUCCUAUCGAGAAAGACCGCUAAUUAACUAACCGAAAAAAACAAGAUUUAGUCAUUAAUGGGCAUGGCGUUUUUCCAUUUUCCCCCCAUUACGUAAAAGCCGACAUUACAUCCAACGCAAAUCGGAUUUUCCAGUCCAAAUUACUGUAAUUAUUAUAUUGCUUUGUUUUCACGAUUUAAUUUCGUACGCAUUUAAGAUGUAAAAUUAUUAUUGCCUAAUUAAACCAUCACACCAGU